rnacentral:rRNA from 1 species
GACGAACGCUGGCGGCGUGCUUAACACAUGCAAGUCGAACGGAAAGGCCCUGCUUUUGUGGGGUGCUCGAGUGGCGAACGGGUGAGUAACACGUGAGUAACCUGCCCUUGACUUUGGGAUAACUUCAGGAAACUGGGGCUAAUACCGGAUAGGAGCUCCUGCUGCAUGGUGGGGGUUGGAAAGUUUCGGCGGUGGGGGAUGGACUCGCGGCUUAUCAGCUUGUUGGGGGGGUAGUGGCUUACCAAGGCUUUGACGGGUAGCCGGCCUGAGAGGGUGAACGGCGACAUUGGGACUGAGAUACGGCGCAGACUCCUACGGGCGGCAGCAGUGGGGAAUAUUGCACAAUGGGCGGAAGUCUGAUGCAGCAACGCCGCGUGCGGGAUGACGGCUUUCGGGUUGUAAACCGCUUUGGCCUGUGACGAAGCGUGAGUGACGGUAAUGGGUAAAGAAGCACCGGCUAACUACGUG